rnacentral:misc_RNA from 1 species
AGCUGGGACCUUCUUACCAUCUUCAAUAAAAUAAAUUGCAGUUUCUGGGACAUCAGGCCAGGUCUCCGUAAUGAAGUCCACAAUGUCAUAGGAUAUGUCUCCCUGAACAUCAAUCUGCUCCUUCUCAGUUGGACCCUUAACAACAGAGGCUCCAGUAGCAAACUUUUUACCAAGUUUCUUUGAUGCAUCGCUAAGUUUAACACCAAACAGGUCCAGCCCUUUAACAGUGGUGAUACA